AAACCAACCGGGAUUGCCUUAGUAACGGCGAGUGAAGCGGCAAAAGCUCAAAUUUGAAAUCUGGUACCUUCGGUGCCCGAGUUGUAAUUUGGAGAGGGCAACUUUGGGGCCGUUCCUUGUCUAUGUUCCUUGGAACAGGACGUCAUAGAGGGUGAGAAUCCCGUGUGGCGAGGAGUGCGGUUCUUUGUAAAGUGCCUUCGAAGAGUCGAGUUGUUUGGGAAUGCAGCUCUAAGUGGGUGGUAAAUUCCAUCUAAAGCUAAAUAUUGGCGAGAGACCGAUAGCGAACAAGUACAGUGAUGGAAAGAUGAAAAGAACUUUGAAAAGAGAGUGAAAAAGUACGUGAAAUUGUUGAAAGGGAAGGGCAUUUGAUCAGACAUGGUGUUUUGUGCCCUCUGCUCCUUGUGGGUAGGGAAUCUCGCAUUUCACUGGGCCAGCAUCAGUUUGGUGGCAGGAUAAAUCCAUAGGAAUGUAGCUUGCCUCGGUAAGUAUUAUAGCCUGUGGGAAUACUGCC
rnacentral:rRNA from 1 species